CAGUCGCCACGGUAAUACGUAGGGUGCGAGCGUUAAUCGGAAUUACUGGGCGUAAAGCGUGCGCAGGCGGUUGUGUAAGACAGGUGUGAAAUCCCCGGGCUUAACCUGGGAACUGCGCUUGUGACUGCACAGCUAGAGUAUGGCAGAGGGGGAUGGAAUUCCACGUGUAGCAGUGAAAUGCGUAGAGAUGUGGAGGAACACCGAUGGCGAAGGCAGCCCCCUGGGCCAAUACUGACGCUCAUGCACGAAAGCGUGUGGAGCAAACAGGAUUAGAUACCCCCGUAGUCCCUGUCUCUUAUAC
rnacentral:rRNA from 1 species